rnacentral:rRNA from 1 species
UACGUAGGGUGCGAGCGUUAAUCGGAAUUACUGGGCGUAAAGCGUGCGCAGGCGGUUCGUUGUGUCGGCGGUGAAAGCCCCGGGCUCAACCUGGGAAUGGCCGUUGAAACUGGCGAACUGGAGUGUGGCAGAGGGGGGGUGGAAUUCCGCGUGUAGCAGUGAAAUGCGUAGAGAUGUGGAGGAACACCGAUGGCGAAGGCAGCCCCCCUGGGUUAACACUGACGCUCAGGCACGAAAGCGUGGGGAGCAAACAGG